rnacentral:rRNA from 1 species
GAUGAACGCUGGCGGCGUGCCUAAUACAUGCAAGUCGAGCGAACAGAUGAGGAGCUUGCUCCUCUGACGUUAGCGGCGGACGGGUGAGUAACACGUGGAUAACCUACCUAUAAGACUGGGAUAACUUCGGGAAACCGGAGCUAAUACCGGAUAAUAUAUUGAACUGCAUGGUUCAAUAGUGAAAGACGGUUUUGCUGUCACUUAUAGAUGGAUCCGCGCCGCAUUAGCUAGUUGGUAAGGUAACGGCUUACCAAGGCAACGAUGCGUAGCCGACCUGAGAGGGUGAUCGGCCACACUGGAACUGAGACACGGUCCAGACUCCUACGGGAGGCAGCAGUAGGGAAUCUUCCGCAAAGGGCGAAAGCCUGACGGAGCAACGCCGCGUGAGUGAUGAAGGUCUUCGGAUCGUAAAACUCUGUUAUUAGGGAAGAACAAAUGUGUAAGUAACUAUGCACGUCUUGACGGUACCUAAUCAGAAAGCCACGGCUAACUACGUG